rnacentral:rRNA from 1 species
AUACGGAGGAUCCGAGCGUUAUCCGGAUUUAUUGGGUUUAAAGGGUGCGCAGGCGGCCAUUUAAGUCAGCGGUUAAAUCGUGGGGCUCAACCCCAUUCUGCCGUUGAUACUGGGUGGCUUGAUUGCGGUCGAGGUUGGCGGAAUUCGUUGUGUGGCGGUGAAAUGCAUAGAUAUGACGAAGAACACCGAUUGCGUAGGCAGCUGACCAGACCGCAAAUGACGCUCAUGCACGAAAGUGCGGGGAUCGAACAGGAUUAGAUACCCUGGUAGUCCGCACAGUAAACGAUGAAUACUUGUUUUCGGCGAUAUAAUGUCGGAGGCAAAGCGAAAGCGAUAAGUAUUCCACCUGGGGAGUACGCCGGCAACGGUGAAACUCAAAUGAAUUGGCGGGG